rnacentral:rRNA from 1 species
GAUGAACGCUGGCGGCGUGCUUAACACAUGCAAGUCGAACGAUGAAGCCCACUUGUGGGUGGAUUAGUGGCGAACGGGUGAGUAACACGUGAGUAACCUGCCCUUGACUCUGGGAUAAGCCUGGGAAACUGGGUCUAAUACCGGAUAUGACCUUCCAUCGCAUGGGGGUUGGUGGAAAGCUUUUGCGGUUUUGGAUGGACUCGCGGCCUAUCAGCUUGUUGGUGGGGUAAUGGCCUACCAAGGCGACGACGGGUAGCCGGCCUGAGAGGGUGACCGGCCACACUGGGACUGAGACACGGCCCAGACUCCUACGGGAGGCAGCAGUGGGGAAUAUUGCACAAUGGGCGCAAGCCUGAUGCAGCGACGCCGCGUGAGGGAUGACGGCCUUCGGGUUGUAAACCUCUUUCAGUAGGGAAGAAGCGUAAGUGACGGUACCUGCAGAAGAAGCGCCGGCUAACUACGUGCCAGCCGCCGCAGUAAAAC